UUGAUUACGUCCCUGCCCUUUGUACACACCGCCCGCGCUACUACCGAAUGAAUGACUUAGUGAGGCCUCGGACUGAGCGGCGUGGCGUUCGGCGCCGCGAUGGUUCGGAAGAUGACCAAACUGGAUCAUUUAGAGGAAGGACAAGCGUAACAAGGUUCCGUAGGUGAACCUGCGGAA
rnacentral:rRNA from 1 species